rnacentral:misc_RNA from 1 species
AAGUCGUAACAAGGUAACCGUAGGUGAACCUGCGGUUGGAUCAUUAAUAAAUUUUAAUGAAAAAGGCCAUUUCCCUUUGGGAUUCGGAUCUUUUUUAACCACUUGUGAACUGUUUAUUGUAUUUGGUGUGGUUAAAACGGAGUGUAAAAACUCUGGCAAGUAAAAUUGCACCCACCGAUGUUAAACUUUUUUAUCUAGUCUAUUUUUACUUUUAAAUUUUUAAUUUAAAAAACAACUUUUGGCAACGGAUCUCUAGGCUCUU